rnacentral:rRNA from 1 species
UGGGGAAUUUUGGACAAUGGGCGCAAGCCUGAUCCAGCAAUGCCGCGUGCAGGACGAAGGCCUUCGGGUUGUAAACUGCUUUUGUACGGAGCGCGGUACCGUAAGAAUAAGCACCGGCUAACUACGUGCCAGCAGCCGCGGUAAUACGUAGGGUGCGAGCGUUAAUCGGAAUUACUGGGCGUAAAGCGUGCGCAGGCGGUUUUGUAAGACAGGCGUGAAAUCCCCGGGCUCAACCUGGGAAUGGCGCUUGUGACUGCAAAGCUGGAGUGCGGCAGAGGGGGAUGGAAUUCCGCGUGUAGCAGUGAAAUGCGUAGAUAUGCGGAGGAACACCGAUGGCGAAGGCAAUCCCCUGGGCCUGCACUGACGCUCAUGCACGAAAGCGUGGGGAGCAAACAGGAUUAGAUACCCUAGUAGU